AAGAGGUGUAUUUAAACCAUUAGAACUGCUAAUUCUAAUAACUAAAAAUAGUAUCCUUAGACCUCUUAC
rnacentral:tRNA from 1 species